rnacentral:rRNA from 1 species
GGUUAAGCGACUAAGCGUACACGGUGGAUGCCCUGGCAGUCAGAGGCGAUGAAGGACGUGCUAAUCUGCGAUAAGCGUCGGUAAGGUGAUAUGAACCGUUAUAACCGGCGAUUUCCGAAUGGGGAAACCCAGUGUGUUUCGACACACUAUCAUUAACUGAAUCCAUAGGUUAAUGAGGCGAACCGGGGGAACUGAAACAUCUAAGUACCCCGAGGAAAAGAAAUCAACCGAGAUUCCCCCAGUAGCGGCGAGCGAACGGGGAGCAGCCCAGAGCCUGAAUCAGUGUGUGUGUUAGUGGAAGCGUCUGGAAAGGCGCGCGAUACAGGGUGACAGCCCCGUACACAAAAAUGCACAUACUGUGAGCUCGAUGAGUAGGGCGGGACACGUGGUAUCCUGUCUGAAUAUGGGGGGACCAUCCUCCAAGGCUAAAUACUCCUGACUGACCGAUAGUGAACCAGUACCGUGAGGGAAAGGCGAAAAGAACCCCGGCGAGGGGAGUGAAAAAGAACCUGAAACCGUGUACGUACAAGCAGUGGGAGCACGCUUCGGCGUGUGACUGCGUACCUUUUGUAUAAUGGGUCAGCGACUUAUAUUCUGUAGCAAGGUUAACCGAAUAGGGGAGCCGAAGGGAAACCGAGUCUUAACUGGGCGUUAAGUUGCAGGGUAUAGACCCGAAACCCGGUGAUCUAGCCAUGGGCAGGUUGAAGGUUGGGUAACACUAACUGGAGGACCGAACCGACUAAUGUUGAAAAAUUAGCGGAUGACUUGUGGCUGGGGGUGAAAGGCCAAUCAAACCGGGAGAUAGCUGGUUCUCCCCGAAAGCUAUUUAGGUAGCGCCUCGUGAAUUCAUCUCCGGGGGUAGAGCACUGUUUCGGCAAGGGGGUCAUCCCGACUUACCAACCCGAUGCAAACUGCGAAUACCGGAGAAUGUUAUCACGGGAGACACACGGCGGGUGCUAACGUCCGUCGUGAAGAGGGAAACAACCCAGACCGCCAGCUAAGGUCCCAAAGUCAUGGUUAAGUGGGAAACGAUGUGGGAAGGCCCAGACAGCCAGGAUGUUGGCUUAGAAGCAGCCAUCAUUUAAAGAAAGCGUAAUAGCUCACUGGUCGAGUCGGCCUGCGCGGAAGAUGUAACGGGGCUAAACCAUGCACCGAAGCUGCGGCAGCGACACUAUGUGUUGUUGGGUAGGGGAGCGUUCUGUAAGCCUGUGAAGGUGUGCUGUGAGGCAUGCUGGAGGUAUCAGAAGUGCGAAUGCUGACAUAAGUAACGAUAAAGCGGGUGAAAAGCCCGCUCGCCGGAAGACCAAGGGUUCCUGUCCAACGUUAAUCGGGGCAGGGUGAGUCGACCCCUAAGGCGAGGCCGAAAGGCGUAGUCGAUGGGAAACAGGUUAAUAUUCCUGUACUUGGUGUUACUGCGAAGGGGGGACGGAGAAGGCUAUGUUGGCCGGGCGACGGUUGUCCCGGUUUAAGCGUGUAGGCUGGUUUUCCAGGCAAAUCCGGAAAAUCAAGGCUGAGGCGUGAUGACGAGGCACUACGGUGCUGAAGCAACAAAUGCCCUGCUUCCAGGAAAAGCCUCUAAGCAUCAGGUAACAUCAAAUCGUACCCCAAACCGACACAGGUGGUCAGGUAGAGAAUACCAAGGCGCUUGAGAGAACUCGGGUGAAGGAACUAGGCAAAAUGGUGCCGUAACUUCGGGAGAAGGCACGCUGAUAUGUAGGUGAAGUCCCUCGCGGAUGGAGCUGAAAUCAGUCGAAGAUACCAGCUGGCUGCAACUGUUUAUUAAAAACACAGCACUGUGCAAACACGAAAGUGGACGUAUACGGUGUGACGCCUGCCCGGUGCCGGAAGGUUAAUUGAUGGGGUCAGCGCAAGCGAAGCUCUUGAUCGAAGCCCCGGUAAACGGCGGCCGUAACUAUAACGGUCCUAAGGUAGCGAAAUUCCUUGUCGGGUAAGUUCCGACCUGCACGAAUGGCGUAAUGAUGGCCAGGCUGUCUCCACCCGAGACUCAGUGAAAUUGAACUCGCUGUGAAGAUGCAGUGUACCCGCGGCAAGACGGAAAGACCCCGUGAACCUUUACUAUAGCUUGACACUGAACAUUGAGCCUUGAUGUGUAGGAUAGGUGGGAGGCUUUGAAGUGUGGACGCCAGUCUGCAUGGAGCCGACCUUGAAAUACCACCCUUUAAUGUUUGAUGUUCUAACGUGGACCCGUGAUCCGGGUUGCGGACAGUGUCUGGUGGGUAGUUUGACUGGGGCGGUCUCCUCCUAAAGAGUAACGGAGGAGCACGAAGGUUGGCUAAUCCUGGUCGGACAUCAGGAGGUUAGUGCAAUGGCAUAAGCCAGCUUGACUGCGAGCGUGACGGCGCGAGCAGGUGCGAAAGCAGGUCAUAGUGAUCCGGUGGUUCUGAAUGGAAGGGCCAUCGCUCAACGGAUAAAAGGUACUCCGGGGAUAACAGGCUGAUACCGCCCAAGAGUUCAUAUCGACGGCGGUGUUUGGCACCUCGAUGUCGGCUCAUCACAUCCUGGGGCUGAAGUAGGUCCCAAGGGUAUGGCUGUUCGCCAUUUAAAGUGGUACGCGAGCUGGGUUUAGAACGUCGUGAGACAGUUCGGUCCCUAUCUGCCGUGGGCGCUGGAGAACUGAGGGGGGCUGCUCCUAGUACGAGAGGACCGGAGUGGACGCAUCACUGGUGUUCGGGUUGUCAUGCCAAUGGCACUGCCCGGUAGCUAAAUGCGGAAGAGAUAAGUGCUGAAAGCAUCUAAGCACGAAACUUGCCCCGAGAUGAGUUCUCCCUGACCCUUUAAGGGUCCUGAAGGAACGUUGAAGACGACGACGUUGAUAGGCCGGGUGUGUAAGCGCAGCGAUGCGUUGAGCUAACCGGUACUAAUGAACCGUGAGGCUUAACCUU